GGCAGCGAUCAGCAUGCCGCGUGUGUGAGAGGCCUUAUGGUUGUAAAGCACUUUAAGCGAGGGGAGCUACUUUAGUUAAUACCUAGAGAUAGUGGACGUUACUCCAGAAUAAGCACCGGCUAACUCUGUGCCAGCAGCCGCGGUAAUACAGAGGGUGCAAGCGUUAAUCGGAUUUACUGGGCGUAAAGCGCGCGUAGGCGGCUAAUUAAGUCAAAUGUGAAAUCCCCGAGCUUAACUUGGGAAUUGCAUUCGAUACUGGUUAGCUAAGUGUGGGAGAGGAUGGUAGAAUUCCAGGUGUAGCGGUGAAAUGCGUAGAGAUCUGGAGG
rnacentral:rRNA from 1 species